rnacentral:lncRNA from 1 species
CAUUUUCUUAUUGCUAAAAUCUUCAGACUUCAAAAUAAUGUGUGGCAUUUUUGUCAAAAAAUAAGGAAAUCUUGGCAAAUUCGUCAAGUCCAUUACCAAAACCAUGGUAGCAUUAUAUACCCGUGUGCAAAAUGGCGAGCCUUUGGUAAGCUGCAAAUACUGAUGCUUCAGCACUAGAGAUACCACAAGUCAUGUACACUCUUUCUGAAAAUUUACAACCCAUUUUCAAGGAUUUUUGUACAACUUUAAGGCCUUGUUCGGUUGCGGGUGAAUCCGAGUGGAUUGAAGGGGUUUGAGGGGGAUUUAAACCUCUUCUAAGUCAAAAUAUGAACCAAUCCCUGCCAAUCCCCUCCAAUCCUCUUGGGGAGAGGAUUAACCGAACAAAGCCUAAGGGCGUCGGGGCGUGAUGAUUUCGCCGUGAUUUCCUACCCAUCUACUUACUUACAAGCAACCGCUGAUAAAUUAUAUAAUUAUAUAGUUCUGCGAAAAAUGAUUAGCACUUUCGCCAUCUUGUCUGUGGAGUGUAUUUGUUGAUCUAAUUACUAGCAGGAGGUCCUUGCAGGACCGGAGGAUGUCCUGAGGACUUCAGAACCAAGGUCACGUAUCUUUUGCAGCAUCAAGGCCUUCUCCCGCUCCAGCUGCUGUAUGUACAAAUCCUGCUCGUCCUGGACGCUCUCCACCUCCGUCAGGGCCAACGACAGUGCCUCCGCAUCGCCGCCGUCGUCCACCAAGCCCGAGCAUUUCUUCAGGCUGUCUCUCAUCUG